UACGUAGGGUGCAAGCGUUAAUCGGAAUUACUGGGCGUAAAGCGUGCGCAGGCGGUCUGUUAAGACCGAUGUGAAAUCCCCGGGCUUAACCUGGGAACUGCAUUGGUGACUGGCAGGCUUUGAGUGUGGCAGAGGGAGGUAGAAUUCCACGUGUGGCAGUGAAAUGCGUAGAGAUGUGGAGGAAUACCGAUGGCGAAGGCAGCCUCCUGGGCCAACACUGACGCUCAUGCACGAAAGCGUGGGGAGCAAACAGG
rnacentral:rRNA from 1 species